rnacentral:SRP_RNA from 1 species
UGGUGGGCUAGGCCGGGCUGCUCGGCGUAGCCUGUGACCCGAAACCGUCGAUAUGCGGGGGCCGAAGCCGAGGGAAGGUUCGUGGAGCAGGGGAUGGCAUUCUCCUCAUCCUCGUAGAGUCCCCGUCCCGAUGGGCCGGCGGUUACUGUCUGGCUGCCCGGAGGGGCUGUCAGCAGUAUUAACCGGAGGGAACGGCCCAGGCCCGGAAGGGAGCAAGCUUACUCCGGACGACCGGCGCUGUCGGGGUAGCGGGGAGGAGAGGAUGUCUUGAAUGUCCCCCUGCAAAGCGAAUCGACCCGAGGCGUGCCCACCU